rnacentral:rRNA from 1 species
GACGAACCGUGCGAACGUUAUUCGGAAUCACUGGGCUUAAAGCGCGUGUAGGCGGGCGGUGCGUCGGUCGUUGAAAUCCCCCGGCUCAACCGGGGAAGUGGCGCCGAUACGACCGCCCUGGAGCGACGUAGGGGGAACUGGAACUUCCGGUGGAGCGGUGAAAUGCGUUGAGAUCGGAAGGAACGCCCGUGGCGAAAGCGAGUUCCUGGACGUCGGCGUGACGCUGAGACGCGAAAGCCAGGGGAGCGAACGGG